AUUGAACGCUGGCGGCAUGCCUUACACAUGCAAGUCGAACGGCAGCACGGGAGCAAUCCUGGUGGCGAGUGGCGAACGGGUGAGUAAUAUAUCGGAACGUGCCCAGUCGUGGGGAUAACGUAGCGAAAGCUACGCUAAUACCGCAUACGAUCUAUGGAUGAAAGCGGGGGAUCGCAAGACCUCGCGCGAUUGGAGCGGCCGGUAUCAGAUUAGGUAGUUGGUGAGGUAAAGGCUCACCCAAGCCGACGAUCUGUAGCUGGUCUGAGAGGACGACCAGCCACACUGGAACUGAGACACGGUCCAGACUCCUACGGGAGCAGCAUGGGAAUUUUGGACAAUGGACGCAAGUCUGAUCCAGCCAUUCCGCGUGCAGGAUGAAGGCCCUCGGUUGUAAACUGCUUUG
rnacentral:rRNA from 1 species